rnacentral:rRNA from 1 species
CUUGCUGCAUGCUUUAUACAUGCAAGUCGAACGAAGGCCCUAGCUUGCUAGGUGUCCUUAGUGGCGCACGGGUGAGUAACACGUGGGAACAUACCUUAUAGUACGGAAUAACUGCGGGAAACUGUAGCUAAUACCGUAUAUUCCAGCAAUGGGAAAGAUUUAUCGCUAUAAGAUUGGCCCGCGCAAGAUUAGCUUGUUGGUGAGGUAAAAGCUCACCAAGGCUUCGAUCUUUAGCUGGUUUGAGAGGAUGAUCAGCCACACUGGGACUGAGACACGGCCCAGACUCCUACGGGAGGCAGCAGUAGGGAAUAUUGGACAAUGGGGGCAACCCUGAUCCAGCAAUGCAGCGUGAGUGACGAAGGCCUUAGGGUUGUAAAACUCUUUCAUCGGUGAGGAUAAUGACAGUAGCCGAAGAAGAAGGACCGGCUAAUUCCGUGCCAGCAGCCGCGGUAAUACGGAAGGUCCUAGCGUUGUUCGGAAUUACUGGGCGUAAAGCGCAUGUAGGCGGAACAGAAAGUUAGAAGUGAAAUCCCUGGGCUCAACCUAGGAAUUGCUUUUAAAACUUCUGUUCUGGAAUUCAGGAGAGGAAAAUGGAAUUUCCAGUGUAGAGGUGAAAUUCGUAGAUAUUGGAAGGAACACCAGUGGCGAAGGCGAUUUUCUGGACUGAUAUUGACGCUGAGAUGCGAAGGCAUGGGUAGCAAACGGGAUUAGAUACCCCGGUAGUCCAUGCAGUAAACGAUGGGUGCUAGUCGUCGGACUUUUGUUCGGUGUCGUAGCUAACGCGUUAAGCACCCCGCCUGGGGAGUAC